rnacentral:sRNA from 1 species
UCAGAGCUAGUCAAUGUCAUUACCCUUUUUUUAGGAUAUGGGAAUACUAGUGUUGA